GACGAACGCUGGCGGCGUGCUUAACACAUGCAAGUCGAACGGAAAGGCCCUGCUUUUGUGGGGUGCUCGAGUGGCGAACGGGUGAGUAACACGUGAGUAACCUGCCCUUGACCUUGGGAUAACUUCAGGAAACUGGGGCUAAUACCGGAUAGGAGCUCCUGCUGCAUGGUGGGGGUUGGAAAGUUUCGGCGGUUGGGGAUGGACUCGCGGCUUAUCAGCUUGUUGGUGGGGUAGUGGCUUACCAAGGCUUUGACGGGUAGCCGGCCUGAGAGGGUGACCGGCCACAUUGGGACUGAGGUACGGCCCAGACUCCUACGGGAGGCAGCAGUGGGGAAUAUUGCACAAUGGGCGGAAGCCUGAUGCAGCAACGCCGCGUGCGGGAUGACGGCCUUCGGGUUGUAAACCGCUUUCGCCUGUGACGAAGCGUGAGUGACGGUAAUGGGUAAAGAAGCACCGGCUAACUACGUG
rnacentral:rRNA from 1 species